UCCCCUAUUUUUAACUUUUUCUAUCUUAUUUUAUUUGGUGUUUCGUUGACUGAAGCUUUAUCUUCUCUUCUUAACUUUUAACAUGCUUUAAGAAUAUUGACACACCGUAACAAUUUCGAGCAUCUUGUGUACCAGAAUUGUGGUGACAACAUACAAUGACUACCUACUAAUUAGCAUUGACCUAUUUAAGCACAACCUUCUGCACAUUGUUUUUUCUUACCAUGUUAUGAAUUAUUUUUGAAAAAACAUGGCUGAGAGAUACAUAUUUUGCAGGUUCAGAAAAAUGCAGAUUGGAGGUUGACACCACCCUCUGAUAAAAUUAUCAAAUGCAGUGACUUGAAACCACUUUGAUUUCCUUUGGAUUGCGAUUUUUUCUUUCACACCAUUCCCUGUUGAACACUGUCAUCAGCUACUUAACAUGUGAAACAAAGUUGAAUUCCAUUGAGGAUUACUUUUUUGGCCGCAUGUCAGCUUGCCAAAGUGAAGAGAUCCUCGCAGCAUCUGCAUUACAAUGGAAGAGUUCCUGAGACAUAUGGUGUACCAGGGGCACCACCAUCUCUGUUCUUAAACAACUAUACUGUCGUUGUAUAGAAGGCACACUAUCUCCAUGGAAUGACAAGGAAGUAUAGAUAUGACAGGGCAUGUACUGUACUGUUCUUACGGCACAUGUCGUCCACCAAGAUGAGUGCUAUAUUUCACCAGUGUUGUUUGGCAAUGAUGCUAUCCGAAAGUACUCUUCGGCAUUAGUUCUACACCCUAAACCCGAUUCAUACAUGGCAGAUCUAGAGCAUGUCUUAAUUUAUUAAAUAAAAAAAUUAUGUUCGGAUUCAAGUUAA